ACGGGAGGCAGCAGUGAGGAAUAUUGGUCAAUGGGCGGAAGCCUGAACCAGCCAAGUCGCGUGAAGGAUGAAGGUAUUAUGUAUUGUAAACUUCUUUAGCCAGGGGGCAAUAAGGCGUACGCGUACGCCGAUGAGAGUACCUGGAGAAUAAGGAUCGGCUAACUCCGUGCCAGCAGCCGCGGUAAUACGGAAGGUCCGGGCGUUAUCCGGAUUUAUUGGGUUUAAAGGGAGCGUAGGCCGUGCUUUAAGCGUGUUGUGAAAUGUAGGCGCCCAACGUCUGCACUGCAGCGCGAACUGGAGCACUUGAGUACGCAGGAAGUAGGCGGAAUUCGUCGUGUAGCGGUGAAAUGCUUAGAUAUGACGAAGAACUCCGAUUGGGAAGCCAGCUUACUGUAGCGCCACUGACGCUGAUGCUCGAAAGCGUGGGUAUCGAACAGGAUUAGAUACCCUGGUA
rnacentral:rRNA from 1 species